rnacentral:tRNA from 1 species
UCCUGGGUGGCUCAGUUGGUUGAGCGUCUGACUUCGGCUCAGGUCAUGAUCUCACAGCUCGUGAGUUCGAGCCCCAUGUCGGGAU